CACAUCCGGAGUUUCCGAGCGCCCUCCUCCAUCGUGGAAUUGCCCGUCAGCUUUACAACAGGUCUUUGCCCAUAGACCACCCCCUCCCUCCCAAAACAGCCUCUCAAAAGAAGGGGGAAGAAGUUUCCAGAAAUCCAAGAGGGUGGGUGGCCCUGGACUUUGGCCAGGUGGAAGCCGUGGUCCCGCCCUUGGCCAGUCAGGCCUUCCUCCCCUGGGAUGGGACCAGUUCUUGUAGAGGAAGAAUAGUGGCUCCUGGGAACUGAGGCCAGGUCCAAGGUGGGAACUGAGGCCGCCGCCAUACACACGAGCAAGAAUUCUCAGGCCCUAUGCCUCGCCUCUCUACCCCUCAGAGGAUUUCUGGACUUCCCUGCUCUGCCUCUGGAGAAGACUGGGCUGGUCCUACCAACCCAGACAACAGGUUAGACCAGGUGCCUCCCACUAGGACCAAGAUGGCUCCAAAGGAGGUAAGGAGAACCUUUGGCAGGUGCUUGAGGACACUGACUACCCAGAAAGUGGACAAAGGAGGGACGCGGACACACACACACACACACACACACACCCCGCCCCACCCCAAUCGGGGCCUGUCAGAGCCGGAGGGUCCUGACAGCACUUGGGUUCUCAUAGCCGGCUGAGGAAGGGGGGGUGUGGUAACCCAACAGAAGGAGGGGGCCCCUACCCAGGUGUUUCUCAACAAGGCCACAAAAAGCCCAAAGAUCUAUGUGUCACCAACUGAUCGUUGUAAAUAAAGUGGACCUGCUUUUUCAUCCUUGUCUCCACUCCUGUGUUUUGUUGGAUGCCAGACCCGCUGGGGACAAAUAGACUAUCAUCAGAACCCUAAGGGACAGGAGGAGACCCUAGGAAGUGGCCCCCUAUAGCACCUAGAGCCAAGCGGUGGGAUCAGUGGGGAGGGGCUGCUGCCAGGAAGCUGUGUCCUUAAUGUCAGGAAAGGAGACAGGAGCAGGUGUGAAAUCGCACGUGCCAAGCCUUGGAGGAGUGUCAGCUGUCUGUCUGCCUCGCAGAAUGUCUGUCUGCCUGGGCACUCAGAUGCAAGUGUCUCUGGGAUAUUUGGCAGGGAGGGGGUAUGGGGCUGGGGACUUCUCAUCAGCCCUGACUCCUUGAGAAGAUUCAUGUGUGUCAAAGCCUGGGGUCCAAAUACUGUGUCUCCCUGGGGAUGAGACGGGCAGGUUGUAAAGAAGAGGGGUGGGCACCCAUUUUUCCUCCAGAGGAGCUAGAGAAAUCUGUCCAGGCUUUGUGACAGUGUGAGUCUCGAGCCUGGAUAUCUUCUUUAUUCCUGUGCUGAGCUGGGCACUGAUCCCAGACUUCUCCAGAGCCCAGACAGAGUGGCCUCUGCAGUGGCCAGCGGUCAGGAGUGUUCUGUUUCCUGGAGCUGCUGGAACAGAGGGUACCACUGCCACUUCAGGCAGCAGAGCCCAGGCGGGGUCAGGUCACUUCCAAGGGGGAAGCUGGGGUUGACUCUACGUGUUGGGGAAGAAGGAUGACAAGGACCCACCCGGCCAGGAGGCCCUGCAUGUUCACGGCUUCCCUCUUCUGUGUCGCCAGCUCCCCAUUUGCAGAAGAGGAAAUGGGAAGGUGUCAGACCUGGGAGACCAGGAUGGGCUGUGGGCCAGGCAGCCACUGGUGUUUGGGACAACCUCACCCCAAAUCAAGGUCACAUGUGCAAUGUCUUCAAUCAGACUCAUGAGGCAGAUGCUUACUGGGCACCUGUCUUGGGACAGGCACUCUGGGGGUCCAGGAGUCCCUCCCUUGUGGCUCAUAGAGGGGACGCAUAUGAUUUAAGGAGUAGUGGCUGCAUAAUAAUUCACAAGCAUGUUCUCAGCCUCAGCUCCUACUCGACUUUUCUCUAGCAGCCUCCCCAAACAGAAACACGCACACAUGCGCGUACACACAACCACCACCUCUCUCGUUCCCUCCUUUACACUAUUCUCUACACCUGAGGCUAGAAGACCAGGGCGAGGGGACUCUGCCUCCUUACCAGCUGUGUGACGUUGGGCAACUCACUCAGCCUCUCUGAGUCUCACCUCUAUCAAUAGUAAAAAUAGGGAUAAUAUGUACCUCACAGGCUAAUUGCAAGAAUGAAAUAGAAUCCUACCCCAAAACGCUUUGGUAAAUAAUAAGGCACCCAGCACAUAGGAGAACAGCCAUGGUACCCAGAGGGUCCUUAUCUUUAGGACUUCAGCGUACUUGCCCACCACCCCACUCCAGCACCCACCAGCAGUGGUUAUAAGUUGUCUUCCAAGCCACAUCACCUUCGGUGCUUAGGGUGGAAGACACAGCACAACUUCUGUCCGUCGGUAGGUUGAGGAUGAGCUAAGCCACAGUGUAGCACCAACUGCCACCAGGCUACAGAGAGGGAUCUCGGGCUGCUCCAGCCACAGGCCCCGGGCAUCACUGCCACCAACGGAGGGGGACCACUCCCUCCUCCAUCUCUGCACAGAGGCUUGGCUUUUGCACAAGAUGGAGAAGAGCCUUGAACCACUGGUCAAGCUGUCUGGUACCCCUGCCUUCUCUCCCCUGCAGACUUCAGAUUCCCAACCCGAUUUAACUGAAGCGGCUUAGCUGUUUUCUCUCUGGGGUUUCUGUGAUUCCACUUGAAUAAGGGGAUCCUCCCAAUUAUUCUUCUUUAGGUUUAAAUCACUGGGUGACCUGCUCUGUAAGCUCCCCUUCCAGCCCCGACGCUGCAUGUGUCAAAGGUCCAACGGGCUGACGAGGCCUGAGAAGUAAUGCCGCGUGUGUAAGGGUGACAGUGGGGCCUGUCCAAGAACAGACAAUCAAGGAUGCUGUGGGAAGUGUGUGUCUCAGCUAGGCCAGCACUCAAGUGUCAAAACUCUUCCUGGGACCUCAUGGGCCUUUUAUUUCUGCUCUCCGAUCACCGCUCCACAGUGGCUAGGCUGUGACAAAUGUUAUUUGUGCCACAGCACACAGCUCCCAGGGUCAAGCUGCUGGCCUGCCUAUGAAUGCCAUCUUGAUUCCCACUGCUCCUCUUGUGUACGUGGUCCUGUUCCCACUUCCCCAGACAUGGCCCUGUGCUCCCACCCCUAGGCUUGUGCCUGUUCUCACUACCCAGAAUGUCCUCCUCAGAUGCACAUUUUCAAAUCCUACCCUCUCUUUGAGGCCCAGCUCAAAAUCCCAGCUCCUCCAAGCUUGCCCUAAUGCGUACCCCUUCUCCACACCCACCCGCUCUGGGGGCAAUCUCUCAUCCAUGGGCCUCCCUGGGAUUGCUGUUUCUAUGUAAGUGUGUCUUGUCUCUCAUAUGGAUCCAUUUUCACUUCCCCGCCCCCUUCGGUACCCUGACCAUAGCGGGGCAGAGAGUCGGUGCUCAAUACUAAUUUGUUGAAUGAGUGCAUGAAUGAGCCAGAUGGAAGAGCCAUCACACGAUAGGAAACCAAGUGGGUGGAGAAGCAUUCCU
rnacentral:lncRNA from 1 species